UACGAAGGGGGCUAGCGUUGCUCGGAAUUACUGGGCGUAAAGCGCACGUAGGCGGCUUUCUAAGUCGGGGGUGAAAUCCUGGAGCUCAACUCCAGAACUGCCUUCGAUACUGGAAAGCUCGAGUCCGGGAGAGGUGAGUGGAACUGCGAGUGUAGAGGUGAAAUUCGUAGAUAUUCGCAAGAACACCAAGUGGCGAAGGCGGCUCACUGGCCCGGUACUGACGCUGAGGUGCGAAAGCGUGGGGAGCAAACAGG
rnacentral:rRNA from 1 species